rnacentral:rRNA from 45 species
UGUCGUCAGCUCGUGUUGUGAAAUGUUGGGUUAAGUCCCGCAACGAGCGCAACCCUUAUCCUUUGUUGCCAGCGGUCCGGCCGGGAACUCAAAGGAGACUGCCAGUGAUAAACUGGAGGAAGGUGGGGAUGACGUCAAGUCAUCAUGGCCCUUACGACCAGGGCUACACACGUGCUACAAUGGCGCAUACAAAGAGAAGCGACCUCGCGAGAGCAAGCGGACCUCAUAAAGUGCGUCGUAGUCCGGAUUGGAGUCUGCAACUCGACUCCAUGAAGUCGGAAUCGCUAGUAAUCGUGGAUCAGAAUGCCACGGUGAAUACGUUCCCGGGCCUUGUACACACCGCCCGUCACACCAUGGGAGUGGGUUGCAAAAGAAGUAGGUAGCUUAACCUUCGGGAGGGCGCUUACCACUUUGUGAUUCAUGACUGGGGUGAAGUCGUAACAAGGUAACCGUAGGGGAACCUGCGGUUGGA